UGACCUGAAUUUUUGAUAUGUUUCACUUCUGUUAGUUAACAAAGGAUCUGGAAAGUUUCAUCGCAUUUCGACGUAAAGUGAAUGUUCUGUGAAUUUUCCAAGUUUGGUCUGUAAUUGAGAAAGUUCCAGAAUUUUAAAUGUUCCUCUGAUUUUCUGUUGAGAUUUGAACUUCUACUUGAAUCAUUUAAGUUCUGGUUUUUCUGUAUAUUGAACUAGACAUCCCAAUGCUUGUUUGAAAACUAAUUCCUUGUCAUUUGGAUUUGCAAUGAAUUUUUGGUGAAUUUUCGAAGUUGACCAUGCUGCUGAGAAAGUAUGUGUGGAGAUAUUCAUAGACUGUUAACUCAGUAAUUUGACUUGGAUUUGACAAUCUUAUUUCAAAUGUCAUUUACAAUUUUAGGAAAAUCUACUCAAGUUUUGCAUAUUAUCACAUUUCUUAAAAGGAUAAACAGAUAAGAUGGAAGGCUAGCUGUUUCAGGAUUUCCAAAACUAGUAUAACUAGAACUAAAGUGUGCCACAUUUUUGAAUGAGUGAUCAUCAGCUUUUGGAUUGUUCCGAUCAAUCUUCAUCCUUUAUUUUCUGUGAAUUUAAGUAAUCGCAAGAUUUGAUUCACUUACUUCUCUGUUUCAUAUCCUAUUGAACUUCUUGUUCACUCUGGCUUGAAGAAGGUUCUUCAACAAUGGCUUGCUUGAGGCUAGGAUAGACUCCACAGAGGAGACAUCAGGCCUCCCUUGGUCUGGUUUGAAGUCAACUAUGGCCUUCUUCUGCUCUUCAGGAAGAUAGCUGCAGGUUUCCAAAGGCUUUCAUGGCAACCAAAAGUACCUCCUCCUCAGUUUUUCCUUCUUCCUCUUCUUCAUAUCCACCUUGGACCUAUGAUGUCUUCCUCAGCUUCAGAGGUGAGGACACCAGUAAAAGCUUUAC